CGAAUGCUGACAUAAGUAACGAUAAAGCGGGUGAAAAGCCCGCUCGCCGGAAGACCAAGGGUUCCUGUCCAACGUUAAUCGGGGCAGGGUGAGUCGACCCCUAAGGCGAGGCCGAAAGGCGUAGUCGAUGGGAAACAGGUUAAUAUUCCUGUACUUGGUGUUACUGCGAAGGGGGGACGGAGAAGGCUAUGUUGGCCGGGCGACGGUUGUCCCGGUUUAAGCGUGUAGGCUGGUUUUCCAGGCAAAUCCGGAAAAUCAAGGCUGAGGCGUGAUGACGAGGCACUACGGUGCUGAAGCAACAAAUGCCCUGCUUCCAGGAAAAGCCUCUAAGCAUCAGGUAACAUCAAAUCGUACCCCAAACCGACACAGGUGGUCAGGUAGAGAAUACCAAGGCGCUUGAGAGAACUCGGGUGAAGGAACUAGGCAAAAUGGUGCCGUAACUUCGGGAGAAGGCACGCUGAUAUGUAGGUGAAGUCCCUCGCGGAUGGAGCUGAAAUCAGUCGAAGAUACCAGCUGGCUGCAACUGUUUAUUAAAAACACAGCACUGUGCAAACACGAAAGUGGACGUAUACGGUGUGACGCCUGCCCGGUGCCGGAAGGUUAAUUGAU
rnacentral:rRNA from 1 species